AGAAGAUCAUCAUGCAGUUAAUCGUGAUGCUGAUCCCUCGCAUGCUAUUGAAUAUCAUCAAGAGGUGUGUCAGAAAAAAGAUUCAAUAAACUUGUUGUGUGUUCUUUUAACUCGUUGCGUGUUCUUUUUGCAGGGCUAGAGAAGCACACCCUUUAUUGGGUACCAGCAUCGGGGAAGAAAGGAGAUUGCUGCUCGUGGCAAACGUCCGCUAGACAUCAACAACAAUCCGAGUGUUUCCACAGAUGGUGAUGAAAAUGUUGAGAAAAACACUGCUGUGGAACAACCACCAAAAUCAAAACGUCAAAAGACCGGAUCUAACGAGGAUAAGAGAAACAGGGCAUCGCCUGCAAGGCUUUUCAAGCUGAAUAAACUUCUUGUACCUGUUCAACAAGGCCAAGCUCAAGUCACUUUCAGUCAAUUUCUGACACCAGCCUUAUACAGAUCAUGGGGAAAGAGAAAGGGAGUCGUG